rnacentral:lncRNA from 1 species
AUGUUAGAACAGCAUUGCCAGCCUUGUGCAAUUCAGUCUUGCUACUCGUCAUUCACUCUGUUUCCAGAGCUCUGCAUAGCACUGCUUUGUGCAGUGCAUAUGGACCUCUGCAUUCCUACUACAACCCUUGAAUUGUGUUCCUGUUUCUUCCAGCCUUCUCCCAGAAGUGCAGAUGGUACAGCCUGGCUUCUCAUUGUUCAACAGAUACUGUGCAGGUAUGCUCUCACAGUGGAACAAACUGAGUGUGAACCCGCCUUUUGCCCACAUGGUGAAGGUGGUGGUGCACACCUCUUCUCGUGCUGCCUGGAGUGGACAGCGGAGGAAGAGCCAAGACUCCAGGUGAUCUGGACGUAAAUCAAAAAAUGUUGUUCAGGAUCCAAGCUGAAUAGUUCGGGUUUUAAUACAAUAUUUCAGUGUGAAACCAAAACAAAUGUUAAACCUUGGAAGCUGUAUAAAAUUGAAUUGUCAUUAUCUAGUCAGUUUUUGUUUUAAGCACCUUGAAUUGUAGUGAAGACAAUAAGAAAUGAAAAUGCUCAACUAUUUCAGGAUUCAGCCUAUAGCAGUGUAGGACACACUCAGCACAGGCUGUUGAUUGUAGCCAUCCUUCACGGCAGUCAUUCAUUAUAUAAUUUCAAAGGUAA